AAAGGCAUUUGACUAUCAAAAACUGCUCGUAAUUUAAGUAUUUACAUCAAAUAAAAAGUGACCUUGUAAUAUAACUCAACUAGACAGAUCAUAAGAUCAGCUGAAGUGUCCUUAUUUUGGCUCCCAAAAUAUGAUAUCUCCUUGCUCUCCAACAAGACCAAGAUCUUUAAGCCUUCUUUCUUGGUAGUAUUCUAAUUCAUCUAAUUCCAAUUCUCUUUCUCUGAAGAUAUCGUCGAUUUGUUGUAAAACCUUCUUUUCUCCUGCUCUUAUCCCUAAUGCUAUCUGAAGCCUUGAACUGAGGUUCCCUUCCUCCAUCAGUUUCUCAUCCUCUUCAAUUGUGGUGUGAUAGGCUGAAAGUGCAGAUUUGCAUGCAUCUCUUACGACUUUACAUAUGAGCUCCUCGUUUGCUCUGCUGACAGGUAACUCAAGAUGACCCCAAACAGCAUUUCUGAAAAUUGAUUCUAGUAGGAAAGCAUCAGUUCCACUAAGGGCAACCAGCCUUAGAUAUGGAAUCAGAAAAGGGGGAAGAGAUUGUCCGAGUUUUAUGUCAAAGUAAGCAGUUCCUCCUAGGCCAUUUGACUCUGCUAUAUCCAGCUUGUCCUCAUAAAAAUCAUCAGACUCUGAUAUUUCCAAAGUUAACGUAAACGCAUCACGAGCUGAAGUACUUGGUUCGAUGAAGCCAUAGUCAAGAGCCAUAUCAGCAUUGCUUUUGUUCAAGUCAUAUUGG
rnacentral:misc_RNA from 1 species